CCUACGGGUGACAGCAGUGAGGAAUAUUGGUCAAUGGACGAGAGUCUGAACCAGCCAAGUAGCGUGAAGGAUGACUGCCCUAUGGGUUGUAAACUUCUUUUAUAUGGGAAUAAAACGUUCCACGUGUGGGAUUUUGUAUGUACCAUAUGAAUAAGGAUCGGCUAACUCCGUGCCAGCAGCAGCGGUAAUACGGAGGAUCCGAGCGUUAUCCGGAUUUAUUGGGUUUAAAGGGAGCGUAGGUGGAUUGUUAAGUCAGUUGUGAAAGUUUGCGGCUCAACCGUAAAAUUGCAGUUGAAACUGGCAGUCUUGAGUACAGUAGAGGUGGGCGGAAUUCGUGGUGUAGCGGUGAAAUGCUUAGAUAUCACGAAGAACUCCGAUUGCGAAGGCAGUUCACUGGACUGCAACUGACACUGAGGCUCGAAAGUGUGGGUAUCAAACAGGAUUAGAUACCCGUGUAGUC
rnacentral:rRNA from 1 species